UUUUUUUAACCAGGUUUUCCGAAGGAAAAAACUGGUUAUUAGAUUGGCGAAUGCGGGCGGGCUGGCUGGCUGGCGGGCUGGCUGGCGGGCUGGCGGAAUAAGCUUGUCCGGGCCAUAACUAUGUCGUUCAUUGUCAGAUUUUAAAAUCAUUUGGCACAUUUGUUCACCAUCAUUGGACGGUGUGUCGCGCGAAAUAAUUACGUCGAUAUCUCCAAGGUCAAGGUCACACUUUGAGUUCAAAGGUCAAAAAUGGCCAUAAAUGAGCUUGUCCGAGCCAUAACUAUGUCGUUCAUUGUCAGAUUUUAAAAUCAUUUGGCACAUUUGUUCACCAUCAUUGGACGGUGUGUCGCGCGAAAUAAUUACGUCGAUAUCUCCAAGGUCAAGGUCACACUUUGAGUUCAAAGGUCAAAAAUGGCCAUAAAUGAGCUUGUCCUGGCCAUAACUAUGUCAUUCAUUGUGAGAUUUUAAAAUCAUUUGGCACAUUUGUUCACCAUCAUGGGACGGUGUGUCCCACGAAAGAAUCACGUCAAUAUCUCCAAUGUCAAGGUCGCCACGACUAAAAAUAGAUUUAAAAAAAAAAAAACUUACAAAGGGGGUUAAUUUUUUUUGGUCAUUUCAAAAGUUCAGUUUGAGUUUUCUCCCUUUUUCAGAUUUUUUUU